UAUAUUAAAAGUUUGGAAUUUGGAAAAAUACCAGGAAAUAGAAGUUGUAGAUAAUUGAAUUAGCUUUCCAUCCAUAGGUCGUGGGUUCCCAGGUGACGACGGUACAUGGAGAUAUGGACGUUUUAAGGUCGAAAGGUCAGUGGACUAGGCCAACCUCGGGACCAACCGGGUUGGCCCAAAAAAAUAAAAAAUAAAAAUCAAGCCCAAGGGAGAGGGGUGGCCGGCCAUCUUAUGGCCCAAGCCCACAAUUUUAAUAAUUUUCCAUGUGCCAAAUUAAUAUAAGGGGCCAUAUAUGCAUCAUUUAUCCAUUAGAAACUUCAAGAACUAAAACAAAACAAGAAGAACAAAAAAAAUGAAGAGCAAUUUCGGCCAUAGCUAGGGGAAUUUCACCCCUCAAAAUCUUCCUCCAAAAAUUAUUAGCUUGUGGUAUUUCCACUAAUUCAAGGGUCCUUUACAACUUGGUGUAGUUGUUUUGGAAGAAGGAGCACUUAUUUCUUCAAGUUGACAACUUGUUCAAGUGAAGAAAUUUGUAGAAAAAGAUUUUGAAGGAAACGGGAAUUGAAUUUGAACUAGCGUAAAGGGCGAAAAAGGUACAGACGACAGAUUUGCUGACCGCCUGCCUAGGAUAUCUAUUCUACUAUUUUGGGAGUGCUCUUUUGUCCAGAGCCUAUAUGUUGGUACAGUCUGCUGCUAUUGUAUAUAUAUAUGCUAUUCAGGGGUAUGACGGGGCCCUGUCCCGUCUUAUGAUUCUGUUAUGUUCUGUAGAGGUCUGUAGACAUACUUGUGUGGGUUCUGUAUAUGUUUUGGGUUGAUAUGAUCUGUGAAAGCCUUAUCGACUUCCACGUACUAUAUCUGUUCAUCUAUGAUAACUAGUAACGCCAACUGA